GUGAGGAAUAUUGGUCAAUGGACGGAAGUCUGAACCAGCCAUGCCGCGUGAAGGAUGAAGGCGUUCUGCGUUGUAAACUUCUUUUAUCAGAGAAGAAACCACUGAUUUCUAUUAGUGUUGAUGGUAUCUGAUGAAUAAGCACCGGCUAACUCCGUGCCAGCAGCCGCGGUAAUACGGAGGGUGCAAGCGUUAUCCGGAUUUACUGGGUUUAAAGGGUGUGUAGGCGGGCUAUUAAGUCAGGUGUGAAAUCCCGGGGCUCAACCUCGGAACUGCCUUUGAUACUAUUAGUCUUGAAUUAUGUUGAGGUUGGCGGAAUAUAACAUGUAGCGGUGAAAUGCAUAGAUAUGUUAUAGAACACCGAUUGCGAAGGCAGCUGGCUAAACAUAUAUUGACGCUGAGGCACGAAAGCGUGGGUAGCGAACAGGAUUAGAAACCCCAGUAGUCC
rnacentral:rRNA from 1 species